UACGUAGGGUGCAAGCGUUGUCCGGAAUUAUUGGGCGUAAAGAGCUCGUAGGCGGUCUGUCGCGUCUGCUGUGAAAACUCAGGGCUUAACCCUGAGCUUGCAGUGGGUACGGGCAGACUAGAGUGCGGUAGGGGAGACUGGAAUUCCUGGUGUAGCGGUGAAAUGCGCAGAUAUCAGGAGGAACACCGGUGGCGAAGGCGGGUCUCUGGGCCGUAACUGACGCUGAGGAAGCGAAAGCAUGGGGAGCGAACAGG
rnacentral:rRNA from 1 species